rnacentral:rRNA from 1 species
UACGUAGGGGGCUAGCGUUGUCCGGAUUUAUUGGGCGUAAAGAGCGUGUAGGCGGCUAGGUAGGUCCGUUGUGAAAACUCGAGGCUCAACCUCGAGACGUCGAUGGAAACCAUCUAGCUAGAGUCCGGAAGAGGAGAGUGGAAUUCCUGGUGUAGCGGUGAAAUGCGCAGAUAUCAGGAGGAACACCGGUGGCGAAGGCGGGAUCCUGGGCCAGUACUGACGCUGAGGAGCGAAAGCGUGGGAGCAAACAGG